UACGGGGGGGGCAAGCGUUGUUCGGAAUUACUGGGCGUAAAGGGCUCGUAGGCGGCCAACUAAGUCGGAUGUGAAAUCCCCAGGCUUAACCUGGGAAUUGCAUCCGAUACUGGAUGGCUUGAAUCCGGGAGAGGGAUGCGGAAUUCCAGGUGUAGCGGUGGAAAUGCGUAGAUAUCUGGAGGAACACCGGUGGCGAAGGCGGCAUCCUGGACCGAUACUGACGCUGAUGAGCGAAAGCCAGGGGAGCAAACGGG
rnacentral:rRNA from 1 species